GAUGAACGCUGGCGGCGUGCCUAAUACAUGCAAGUCGAGCGAACGGACGAGAAGCUUGCUUUUCUGAUGUUAGCGGCGGACGGGUGAGUAACACGUGGAUAACCUACCUAUAAGACUGGGAUAACUUCGGGAAACCGGAGCUAAUACCGGAUAAUAUUUUGAACCGCAUGGUUCAAAAGUGAAAGACGGUCUUGCUGUCACUUAUAGAUGGAUCCGCGCUGCAUUAGCUAGUUGGUAAGGUAACGGCUUACCAAGGCAACGAUGCAUAGCCGACCUGAGAGGGUGAUCGGCCACACUGGAACUGAGACACGGUCCAGACUCCUACGGGAGGCAGCAGUAGGGAAUCGUGCGCAAUGGGCGAAAGCCUGACGGAGCAACGCCGCGUGAGUGAUGAAGGUCUUCGGAUCGUAAAACUCUGUUAUUAGGGAAGAACAUAUGUGUAAGUAACUGUGCACAUCUUGACGGUACCUAAUCAGAAAGCCACGGCUAACUACGUG
rnacentral:rRNA from 1 species